AACGCACCUUGCGCCCUUUGGCUAUUCCGAAGGGCAUGCCUGUUUGAGUAUCAUGAAUACCUCAACUCUCAUGGCUUGCCAUGAUGAGCUUGGACUUUGGGGGUCUUGUUGGUCUGUGAGCCAGCUCCUCUUAAAUGAAUUAGCUUGCCAGUGUUUGGUGGCGUCACAGGUGUGAUAACUAUCUACGCUUGUGGUUUCCCACCAGGUAACCUUCAGCAAUGGAGGUUCACUGGAGCUUAUAAAUGUCUCUUCUCAGCGAGGACACAUCUUGACCAUUUGAUCUCAAAUCAGGUAGGACUACCCGCUGAACUUAA
rnacentral:misc_RNA from 1 species